CUGGGCGUAAAGGACGCGUAGGCGGAUAGGAAAGUUGGAUGUGAAAUCCUAUGGCUUAACCAUAGAACUGCAUCCAAAACUCUCUAUCUAGAGUGAGGGAGAGGUCAGUGGAAUUAGUGGUGUAGGGGUAAAAUCCGUAGAGAUCACUAGGAAUACUCAUUGCGAAGGCGACUGACUGGAACUUAACUGACGCUGAGGCGUGAAAGCGUGGGGAGCAAACAGGAUUAGAUACCCUGGUAGUCCACGCCCUAAACGAUGUACACUAGUUGUUGCCAUGCUAGUCAUGGCAGUAAUGCAGCUAACGCAUUAAGUGUACCGCCUGGGGAGUACGGUCGCAAGAUUAAAACUCAAAGGAAUAGACGGGGACCCGCACAAGCGGUGGAGCAUGUGGUUUAAUUCGAAGAUACGCGAAGAACCUUACCUGGGCUUGACAUCCCAAGAAUCAUCUAGAGAUAGAUGAGUGCCGGCUUGCCGGAACUUGGUGACAGGUGCUGCACGGCUGUCGUCAGCUCGUGUCGUGAGAUGUUGGGUUAAGUCCCGCAACGAGCGCAACCCUCGUUCUUAGUUGCUAACAGUUCGGCUGAGCACUCUAAGAAGACUGCCUUCGUAAGGAGGAGGAAGGUGAGGACGACGUCAAGUCAUCAUGGCCCUUAUGUCCAGGGCUACACACGUGCUACAAUGGGGAGGACAAUGAGAAGCGAUACCGCGAGGUGGAGCAAAUCUAUAAACCUUCUCUCAGUUCGGAUUGUAGUCUGCAACUCGACUACAUGAAGCCGGAAUCGCUAGUAAUCGUAGAUCAGCAAUGCUACGGUGAAUACGUUCCCGGGUCUUGUACUCACCGCCCGUCACACCAUGGGAGUUGAAUUCACCCGAAGCCGGAAUGCCAAAUUGGCUACCGUCCACGGUGGGUUCAGCGACUGGGGUGAAGUCGUAACAAGGUAAC
rnacentral:rRNA from 1 species